ACUCCUACGGGAGGCAGCAGUGGGGAAUAUUGCACAAUGGGCGCAAGCCUGAUGCAGCCAUGCCGCGUGUGUGAAGAAGGCCUUCGGGGUUNUAAAGCACUUUCAGUCGUGAGGAAGGUAGUGUAGUUAAUAGCUGCAUUAUUUGACGUUAGCGACCAGAAGAAGCACCGGCUAACUCCGUGCACCAGGCCGCGGUAAUACGGAGGGUGCGANAGUUAAUCGGAAUUACUCGGGGCGUAAAGCGCAUGCAGGUGGUUUGUUAAGUCAGAUGUGAAAGCCCGGGGCUCAACCUCGGAAUUGCAUUUGAAACU
rnacentral:rRNA from 1 species